rnacentral:lncRNA from 1 species
GGCGAGUGGAAGACUUCAUUGCAAGAUUCAACAUGGAGAGGCAGCUCGAGGCAAGGAUGGUCGUGUGCUGCUGCUGAGGAAAGUAGCUUAAUCAUGUUUGUGUUUGUGUAAUUAAGGUAUUUGCCAAAGCUGGUACUAGUACCUUAUCAAGUCACUUGUGUUUGUGUAAUUAUGGUAUUUGCCAAAGCUGGUACUGGUACCUUAUCAAGUCACUUAUGUCUGUGUAAUUAAGGUAUUUGCCAAAGCCGGUACUGGUACCUUAUCAAGCCAAAUGUGCAGCAAGCUGAAAUAAUAUGCUUGUGAUGUAUAUUCCAUGGUUGCUAUUAUGCAAGCAACAAAAUUACAU